rnacentral:rRNA from 1 species
GGGUUGUGAGGUUAAGCGACUAAGCGUACACGGUGGAUGCCCUGGCAGUCAGAGGCGAUGAAGGACGUGCUAAUCUGCGAUAAGCGUCGGUAAGGUGAUAUGAACCAAUCCAUAGGUUAAUGAGGCGAACCGGGGGAACUGAAACAUCUAAGUACCCCGAGGAAAAGAAAUCAACCGAGAUUCCCCCAGUAGCGGCGAGCGAACGGGGAGSAGCCCAGAGCCUGAAUCAGUGUGUGUGUUAGUGGAAGCGUCUGGAAAGGCGYGCGAUACAGGGUGACAGCCCCGUACACAAAAAUGCACAURCUGUGAGCUCGAUGAGUAGGGCGGGACACGUGGUAUCCUGUCUGAAUAUGGGGGGACCAUCCUCCAAGGCUAAAUACUCCUGACUGACCGAUAGUGAACCAGUACCGUGAGGGAAAGGCGAAAAGAACCCCGGCGAGGGGAGUGAAAAAGAACCUGAAACCGUGUACGUACAAGCAGUGGGAGCACGCUUAGGCGUGUGACUGCGUACCUUUUGUAUAAUGGGUCAGCGACUUAUAUUCUGUAGCAAGGUUAACCGAAUAGGGGAGCCGAAGGGAAACCGAGUCUUAACUGGGCGUUAAGUUGCAGGGUAUAGACCCGAAACCCGGUGAUCUAGCCAUGGGCAGGUUGAAGGUUGGGUAACACUAACUGGAGGACCGAACCGACUAAUGUUGAAAAAUUAGCGGAUGACUUGUGGCUGGGGGUGAAAGGCCAAUCAAACCGGGAGAUAGCUGGUUCUCCCCGAAAGCUAUUUAGGUAGCGCCUCGUGAAYUCAUCUCCGGGGGUAGAGCACUGUUUCGGCAAGGGGGUCAUCCCGACUUACCAACCCGAUGCAAACUGCGAAUACCGGAGAAUGUUAUCACGGGAGACACACGGCGGGUGCUAACGUCCGUCGUGAAGAGGGAAACAACCCAGACCGCCAGCUAAGGUCCCAAAGUCAUGGUUAAGUGGGAAACGAUGUGGGAAGGCCCAGACAGCCAGGAUGUUGGCUUAGAAGCAGCCAUCAUUUAAAGAAAGCGUAAUAGCUCACUGGUCGAGUCGGCCUGCGCGGAAGAUGUAACGGGGCUAAACCAUGCACCGAAGCUGCGGCAGCGACGCUUAUGCGUUGUUGGGUAGGGGAGCGUUCUGUAAGCCUGUGAAGGUGUGCUGUGAGGCAUGCUGGAGGUAUCAGAAGUGCGAAUGCUGACAUAAGUAACGAUAAAGCGGGUGAAAAGCCCGCUCGCCGGAAGACCAAGGGUUCCUGUCCAACGUUAAUCGGGGCAGGGUGAGUCGACCCCUAAGGCGAGGCCGAAAGGCGUAGUCGAUGGGAAACAGGUUAAUAUUCCUGUACUUGGUGUUACUGCGAAGGGGGGACGGAGAAGGCUAUGUUGGCCGGGCGACGGUUGUCCCGGUUUAAGCGUGUAGGCUGGUUUUCCAGGCAAAUCCGGAAAAUCAAGGCUGAGGCGUGAUGACGAGGCACUACGGUGCUGAAGCAACAAAUGCCCUGCUUCCAGGAAAAGCCUCUAAGCAUCAGGUAACAUCAAAUCGUACCCCAAACCGACACAGGUGGUCAGGUAGAGAAUACCAAGGCGCUUGAGAGAACUCGGGUGAAGGAACUAGGCAAAAUGGUGCCGUAACUUCGGGAGAAGGCACGCUGAUAUGUAGGUGAAGUCCCUCGCGGAUGGAGCUGAAAUCAGUCGAAGAUACCAGCUGGCUGCAACUGUUUAUUAAAAACACAGCACUGUGCAAACACGAAAGUGGACGUAUACGGUGUGACGCCUGCCCGGUGCCGGAAGGUUAAUUGAUGGGGUYAGCGCAAGCGAAGCUCUUGAUCGAAGCCCCGGUAAACGGCGGCCGUAACUAUAACGGUCCUAAGGUAGCGAAAUUCCUUGUCGGGUAAGUUCCGACCUGCACGAAUGGCGUAAUGAUGGCCAGGCUGUCUCCACCCGAGACUCAGUGAAAUUGAACUCGCUGUGAAGAUGCAGUGUACCCGCGGCAAGACGGAAAGACCCCGUGAACCUUUACUAUAGCUUGACACUGAACAUUGAGCCUUGAUGUGUAGGAUAGGUGGGAGGCUUWGAAGUGUGGACGCCAGUCUGCAUGGAGCCGACCUUGAAAUACCACCCUUUAAUGUUUGAUGUUCUAACGUUGACCCGUAAUCCGGGUUGCGGACAGUGUCUGGUGGGUAGUUUGACUGGGGCGGUCUCCUCCUAAAGAGUAACGGAGGAGCACGAAGGUUGGCUAAUCCUGGUCGGACAUCAGGAGGUUAGUGCAAUGGCAUAAGCCAGCUUGACUGCGAGCGUGACGGCGCGAGCAGGUGCGAAAGCAGGUCAUAGUGAUCCGGUGGUUCUGAAUGGAAGGGCCAUCGCUCAACGGAUAAAAGGUACUCCGGGGAUAACAGGCUGAUACCGCCCAAGAGUUCAUAUCGACGGCGGUGUUUGGCACCUCGAUGUCGGCUCAUCACAUCCUGGGGCUGAAGUAGGUCCCAAGGGUAUGGCUGUUCGCCAUUUAAAGUGGUACGCGAGCUGGGUUUAGAACGUCGUGAGACAGUUCGGUCCCUAUCUGCCGUGGGCGCUGGAGAACUGAGGGGGGCUGCUCCUAGUACGAGAGGACCGGAGUGGACGCAUCACUGGUGUUCGGGUUGUCAUGCCAAUGGCACUGCCCGGUAGCUAAAUGCGGAAGAGAUAAGUGCUGAAAGCAUCUAAGCACGAAACUUGCCCCGAGAUGAGUUCUCCCUGACYCYUURAGRGUCCUGAAGGAACGUUGAAGACGACGACGUUGAUAGGCCGGGUGUGUAAGCGCAGCGAUGCGUUGAGCUAACCGGUACUAAUGAACCGUGAGGCUUAACCUUACAACGCCGAAG